UCCUCAUGGAUGCUAGUCAAGUUCCUUAACCACUGAGCCACAAUGGGAACUCUGAGAUUUUUCUGUCUUAACACACAUGGUUCAUUGUGUCAUAUCUCUAGGAUCUCUUAAAAUGUAUUUGUAAUUUUAAAAAUAUUUAUGCUACACACACCUUGCAUUUCAUAACCAUGUUGUAGUUUUUGAAUAUGUGAAGCUAGGAUUUAAAUGAAAUACCAAAGGGAACCAUGGACUGGAUGGUUUUAAAAUAUGCUUUUUUACAAUUUUGAGAGCAAAGUCUGAAGAGAGCUACAAAAAUGAUACAUGAAUGUAAUCCCUCUGUCUUUUGUAGCCCUUGUUUUCUGUUCUUUUUUCUUGACCUUGAGCCAGUUUGCCUUCUGUUGUAUACAGCUCUUUCCAGCAGACUGGCUCUACAUUGUUUGCAGCCUGGACUUGGUCCCUGAAGAGAUAUUAGAGGAACAGUUUAAUGGUUAGCAAGUUCUGUUAGGAGCCGAAGUUGCUGAAGCAGAACAGCACACAAUUGUCCAGACUAGCUGCUUGGGGAACAAGGUGGUCUGGAUGGUGUAAGUUUAACUUAAUAGCUUUGGCAGUGGCCGAAGGCAGUGGUUAAACGAUGUCUUAUAGACGGACAGAGUAAAGGAGCUGCUGCCCUGGAGUUCAGUUGUAGUUCAGUUGCUUUUAAUUUUCAUCUCAUCCUCUACCAGUGUGAGAUCCUAUUGUAGUUUUGGAGUUACAGAGCUUUGAAAAAGAGAAGAACAUUCCCCAGUUGACUGAAGGCCCCAGAAUGAAACAUUUAGACCUGGACCACCUGACAACUUGAAGCCAUACCCACCCAAGCCCAACAGAGAUCAGCUAAACCCCAACUUAUCUACAGACUAGACUUAUGAACAGUAACACUGAAGGUCUCACAAAACUGCAAUCAAGGUAUCAGCAGGCUUCAUUCUUAUUUGGAGGCUUAACUAAAGAAGAAUCUGUUUGCAUUCUCACUCAGAUGUCUUCUGGGUGAUUACUAAGUGCUGAAUUUAAUGCAGCAGCUGUGGCAAAGAGAAACUGGACCCAGCGUCUGCCCGGGAGAGAGAGGCAGCCUGGACUAGGGAUUCAUCUCGUUGGCACUGGACUCUGCCAGCUGGCAUCUGAAUCCCAGCUUUUGCAUUUACUAGCUCUGUGACCUUGCCCCUGCGCCUCAGUCUCCAGGGCUGUGAAAGAGGCUUCAUAGCAGUUCCCUGCCAGGAGGCUGUGGAAAAGAUGAAGUGAGCUAAAAGAGGUGAAGUCCUUUCAACAUGGGUUUUGAGGGAAGUGGGUUCUUUUCUUCUUUUGUUCUUACUACUGUCGCUCCGCCUGGAAUCUGAGAGUGGACACCUGACCAGUCCCACACCGCUCAGAGAAGGAGCUGGCACAUCUCUUUGGAGGCUGGAGACUUCAGGAGGACUGGGUAAAAGAGCAGGUCUCUUACAGGAAUGUGGGUGAGGCCUAUGGACAGGCAACCAACAAGGUGUGGGAAGACUCUGGGCAGAAAGGCAGCCUUGUGAGCUGAAAGGAACCAAAGGGGCGAUGAAGUUUUGGGGAGGCGGCCCACGUGUCUGGACGGGAGCAAUGAGAUGUAAGGUUGGAACAGCUGGAACAGGGUGGCCAGAGCCAGAGAAACUUGAGUGCCAAGCGAAGGACCAGAAUUUGCUUUGGCUGGGAACAGUGGCUUACAGCAGCCAAUCAAUAAAAGCAAAUACACACAUAUAUAAUUAGUUGAUGUUAAAUUUGUCUAUAUGGUAAUUUUCAUUAACUAAGAGAAGGCAUAUGUCAACCCUAUUCUCAUUAUUCGCUUGCUUCACUUUUUAGUGAAAUUGGCACUUCUGCUGAUUUGGUUCUCUCUGGAAGGAAAACGAAUGUCUGGGAAAAGGGAUCCCAAGGGAAAGUUCCAUCCUCUAGUGUGGCUUGGAGAGGGCAAGUAUUUGGGUUCACCAUCCUUUGGGUUGUGGUUUGAAGGCCCACUGACUUUUCCAGACUUUGGUCUGCUUUGCCGGAAACAGAAUGGAACUGCUGUUCAUCUUGACUUUUUUUUUUUUUUUUUUUUUGUCUUAACACGGACUGGUUACAAAAGAUACGUCUAUAUCUCAAGCUAGCUUAUCCUUGACAGCCUAUACAACCUUUAAUUAAUAAAUGUCAUUUAUUAUGUCAUUUAAUAAAUGUUCAUUAAUACAUUUAAUAAACUAUAUAUAUAACUAUCCAAACAUAUAUACUGUCCAAAACCAUCUGUUCCUUUCAGAGGUGUUUAUGAUGAUGUGUUCUGCUCAGUGUUUCGCAGAGGAUUUCAUAAGACAAGGUGGCCCUAGUAAUCCAAGACCUCAUUACACUUUAAGCUAUGACAGUUCUGCCAAGAUGCCAAGAAAUGGGGUGUGAACCCUCAGGGUGGCCGAUUAGCAAGUGAGACUUCACCUAGGAGUACAGUACGUGAGGUGAGAUUUUCAGGCUGAACAGCAGCAUUUUCCUGUACAUAAAUAAUGAGACUUCCCACCCUCAUUUCUCUUGUCCUAUAGUGGAGUUCAAGGUCUGAGCCACAGUCCUAUUUACCUUGUCCCUCUGACCUCUCACACAGAGAGGAAACUCACCUUCUUCCCAGGCCAUUUAUUGAAAGCCUCGAGCGUCGGUCACAGGUUUCUCGGUACUAAAAUCCAAAUCUGGCAAAUAACAUCCAGCGUAUUUUUCCCCUGACAACGUAAUGGUCACUUACAGUGACCAUUGAAAUUUAAAUUGUUUUUAAUUUUAGAAAGGUUAGGGGUUUUUUUUAUAGUUCUUUAGGGGGCUAUCCCCAGAUUGGUCGUUGUUCAGCAAACAAUUCAAGGUCAAAACUCACCUUGGCUUCAAUUAUCUUUACAUCUGGACAAAUGAAAUUACACGUUUAGAUUGAACUAUACAGUUAAUUGUUUUUGGACUCGCUUCCUAUUGCCUGUGUAGACCUGGUCCUUGAAUGGAAGCACAAGGUUGGCCUCUGGGAAAAUUUCGCCCAUGCUGCUAAACGAAACGGAGUUCCAGCCAUUGUGGGCACCUGUCCUUCCCUUAACAACCUCCCUCAGAAGCCCAAGCACAAACGACCACACCAUGUAGUGAGGAAGAGCUAAGAACGGGAUGUGGCCUACCAAGGUUGUGUCCACACAUGCCUGUUUCUCAGUGUAUUGGGCACAGCUUCUGGGAAACCGGACUCUGUCCUAAUAUGCCCCUGACAUAUCCCAUGGGAUUCCAGAUGAAGCAGAUGAAGCAGUCAGAGGCCGAGCAAGACAAUCUGGAGGUUUAUUUGUUUGCAUCCUACAGUCUGCCCAGUCUGUCUAAAGUUAAAGCAGCUGUCACUCUAGUUUUGAGUAAGAUGUGGCAUCCACUAAAGCCAUCAAGGAGAAAUGAAAUCCAGCCAUUGUCACCAUAGCUGCUACACAGACAGUUCUAGAUGGAACCUGACCCCUCUGACCUGGCCUACCCUCUCUAAAAACCAAGGACAAGUCCCAAGUGAAAAAAAAAAAAAAAUAUAUGUGCCCCAAACAGAUGUGGCAAAUACAUAUAGGCAUGGCCCUAAUGCAUUAAAGGACUCAAAGGAUGCACUGGCAUGAUGUAGAAAGGGCCCUUGUCAGUCAUCAGCUAGUCCAUCCCCUUCAGCACUGGGGCCAAAGGCCCAAAGGGCAGAAGCCCGGCUAGGAUGCAGGUUUCCUGACCCCCGGUCAGUGUUCUCAGAUGAUACUCAUCAGCAUGUACAGUUUCUUUUCCAGAGAGCCCCUGUAAGGCCUCCUUUUAGAGACUCAAGACCGAUCCUGUCCCUUGAAACCCUCCGGUGGCUUUCCCUCACUCAGGACGGAGCCUGAAGUCCUCAGUGCAGCUUUCAGGCCCACAGGAUCCGGCCCCCACUGCCCACUGCUGCUCUGACUCUGGCUUCGCUCCACGGCACCCCACGUGCUACAGCUGCCACACGGGCCCCCUUGCUCUUCCAGGAGUGCUCAGCACUCUCUUGCCGGGUACACUCAGGCUCUCUGCAUUUGCUGCUGCCUCUGGAUUAGUCUCUCCUAAACAUCUACAGCAUUUCUUCCACUUCCCUGAGGUCUCAACUGCCACUCAUCAGAGAGACCUUCCCCCGACCACACUAUUUAAAUCAGCAGUCCCACCCACACGCUCCCGUCAUAUCCUAUGGCCUAACCCCCUUUAGUUUAUAGCCUCUGAAGUAGUGUGUUUACUCAUUUGUCACCAGGUCCCCCCAUUCCCAUGGAAGCUCAGGUGACUGCAGGCAAUGUCUCUACUGCUGCAUCCUCAGCACCUUGACCAGUGCCUGGCACAUGGGAAAGUUCCCAAGAUCAUUUGAUAAAUGAAUGAAUGAGCGACUCUGAAGUUGAUCUUCAGGGCUCCAGCAGCUGGGUCAUUCUCAUAUUGAGUGUCAUGUUCAUUUUUUUUUUUUUUUGACUGAUGGUGAGGUGAGAGGAAACCAGCAGUCUAUACACUGUUAGCAAGAAUAUGGAUAUAGAUUUUUCUGAAAGACAUUUGGCAAUAUUUAACAUACUUUAAAAGGCACCAACAUACCUUUGGGUGAAGAUAUCCCAUGACUAAGAAUGUUCGCUGUUAGACAUACAAAAAUUCAUCAAGACGUAGGAUACUCAUGAUAGCAUUUUGCUUAAUAGCAAAAACUAUAAACAACUAAAGUGUCCAUCAAUAGGAGACUGAUUAAAGAAAUUCUUGUACAACAAAACAGUGGAAAAACAUGGAACUAUCCCUUAAAAAUGUGCUGGAUCUAUGAGUGCUCAUAUGGAAAAUUCUUCUACUUGACAUACAAGUAAAAAAGCCCUGAUGAAGAAUGGAUUCAUGGUAUGAUCCUUUUGUGUAAAUUUUUUAGAUAAGAUAUACAAAUGCAUAUGUGCUGGCAGAAGGCACAAAAUAUUUUUCACCUGAAUCAUAGGAAAUUGUUAACAGCGAUUACAUUGGGAAGAGGGGACCAGGGUGGGAAGGAAAACUUUCACUUUUCAUUUUGCACAUUUUUGUACUGUUUAAAUUUUCCAGCCAAGAAUAGUCUCAUUCUUGUACAGUUUUUAAAUGUCAACAGAGACUGCUUGAGUGAUGAGAUGAUGGGCCAUUUUUUUUGCCAUCGUUCUUAUACUUUUCUGUUCUUAAGACAGCAACAGCUAAUACUCACCACUCUAAAAACAAAAUAAAAGCAGAGCCUCAAAUGGACCUGCUCAUCAUCUCAAAACUCAGUUGUGAACAGAAGAAUGUAGAUCCGAGAUUAUUUCUUUUAAACCUGAUCACAGAACUCUCAACCAACGGAUUCUUUGCUGUCAAGGAGGCUUGUGAUACAUUUAAUUUUGAGAAGACGAGUUGUCCUCUAACCACCAGAAGAACUCCCAUUUCAGUGGGACUCUUUCCAAGCACUAUCCCAAGCUUUUAUCUCAUUUAAUUUUCACAACAAGGCUGUGAAGUGAGCGGAUCUUGACUUAUUAUCCUUAUUUACAGCUAAGAAGGACAAGGUCCCACCGUGCUGAGAGAGAAAAACAGAACCAGGAAAGAAGCAGUUUCCCCUCUGACCAGCAGCACAGUGUUGUUGCCUUGCAGACCGAAA